rnacentral:rRNA from 1 species
UACGGAGGAUGCAAGCGUUAUCCGGAAUGAUUGGGCGUAAAGCGUCCGCAGGUGGCUAUGUAAGUCUGCUGUUAAAGAGUGAGGCUCAACCUCAUAAGAGCAGUGGAAACUACAUGGCUAGAGUGCGUUCGGGGCAGAGGGAAUUCCUGGUGUAGCGGUGAAAUGCGUAGAGAUCAGGAAGAACACCGGUGGCGAAAGCGGGUUGCUGGGCUGAUACUGACGCUGAGGCGCGAAAGCCAGGGGAGCGAACGGG